AGGUGUUUAUUUAUCAACAAGAAUGACAAGCCAGUCAGUUUUGGGCAAGGCGACGAUAAAGAGAUGUGUACUGUGUCAAUGUUUUUUGGAUACGAAUUUAAGUCUGAAGACGAUUUUAAACGAUCAGGAGCGUGUAUGACGCAGCAACCAGAAUUCUCAUUUUGCGAACACAAAGAAACAUCAGGAAUUUGUGGACACUAUGCAAAAUAAACAUUAAAAACUUAA